rnacentral:rRNA from 1 species
AUUGAACGCUGGCGGCAUGCCUAACACAUGCAAGUCGAACGGCAGCGCGGUAAUAGCUUUGGCGGAGGGUGGCGGACGGGCGGGCAAUUCAUCAGAACAUGCCCAGCUGCGGUGGCUUGGGCGGUGACGGCCGGAUUCAUACCCCAUACGCCCAGAGGACGUACGCGGGGGAGCAGAAGGUCUUGCGCUCUUGCAGGGGCCGAUGUCGGAUUAGCUAGUUGGUGGGGUAAAGGCGUACCAAGGCGACGAUCCGUAGCUGGUCUGAGAGGAUGAUCAGCCACACUGGAACUGAGACACGGUCCAGACUCCUACGGGAGGCAGCAGUGGGGAAUAUUGGACAAUGGGCGCAACCCUGAUCCAGCCAUGCCGCGUGCGUGAAGAAGGCCUUCGGGUUGUAAAGCGCUUUUGUUGGGAAAGAAAAGCAGUAGGCUAAUACCCCGCGGUGAUGACGGUACCGAAAGAAUAAGCACCGGCUAACUUCGUG